GUCACCAACCGGGAAAACCGGAACCAGGGAAAACACAGGGCCACUCUUGGCCCAGAGGGUUUAUCGUCGCUCUGCUCAGAGGCAAGUCCCCGACCUUCACCACCCGCAGGACAAGAAGCAGAGCUGCCGCUUCUCUGACGGAGGCGGUCCCAGUGUGGACGGGUAGAAGGCACUAUUUUGUAGAGUUCAUGUCAUUUGUUUGACAAACACUAUUAAGCCCCCACGGUGUACCAGAACAGUGACAAGUCCUGAAGACAGAGAUGAAUAGGCCUGCCUUUCCCAGACGUGAUCCAGGGAGAGACAGACAUAAGCAAAGGAGGACAGCAACGUGCCAAGUGCUAUCAUGCCAGGAUGCAGCAGCUAAUGGGAGCCCAGAAGGAGGACACCUUGAAGACCACAUUCUCUGGGUAGAACCUGGUAGGAGCCUGCGGUCAGACGAGCAAAGACACUCCAGAGCAAAGAGCACAGAGCGGCGGCGUGAGGUUGCAGAGACCCCACACAGCUGGCUCAGACUUGCUCAGACCCAGCCGGAGAGCUGGGAAGGAGAAAAACAUCGUGAAGCCUGGCACAACCUCGGUUUCUAUUGCUCGUCGGUCACUUUGCCACGGGUGAGUCAUCUGCUCUGAGUCAUGCCUGGCUGAGACGGAAAGGCCAGGAGGAUGCCUCCAAACACACCUGGCUUACGAAAGGACAUCACCAGGGACACGGUCGGUGCCCAGGCACACGCUUUCCUAAGUAGACUAAAAAUUAAAAGAAAAAAAUCCCCUUUACUCUCUCUCUCUCUUUUUCCUCGAAAUUUCCCAUUUCUCUCAGAAUUUGUUGGAGAUGAUUCCUAUGGGGAAUGGGUCUUGGUCACCCACUUUGGACUUUCAGAGGCAGGAGAACAUUUCUGGAAGGAGCCCAGAAAAACCCUGAGGACAAAAUCAGGUUUUUCUUACAUAAGGUUCUUCCUCGAAUGUAUGUGCUACACGGACUGUCACACACGGGCCACCAUCGGACGGCUCCUCCUCUGAGAGCUAUGAAGAUACUGUUUACACAGGGACCACCAAACUGUACCUAAAACAAGGAAAGAUGAGAACCGUCCCAGACCAGAGGAGACUGGGGAGCUGUGACAACUAAACGCACCGUGGUCCCGGAACUGGGUCCUGGGACAGAAGGAGGAGCUGCCUGGAUCCGCGGGCCAGCUCUGCCCCUACGACGGGAGGCAAACCACUCUGCCUCUCCAGGCCUCAGCCUUCUCAUCUGUGAAACAGGUACGGCAGUGGUGGCUAGCCGUGGUGUUCUCGUGAGGGUUAAAGUGACAACCCACAGAGCACCUGGCACAUUGCUGGGCAUGGCAGAGGAAACCCGAUAAACAGGAGCUACAACAACUUUGCCCCCUCAGGGAGAAGGCAUAAACUGCACCCCGCUUCUUCCUCGAGUGUGCCGUCCUUGCCUCCUUGUCAGGGCCAACCCUGAAGUUUAAGGAGCUUGACUCUGAAAACCACCCCAUACAUAAAAGCUCUUUCCCCACCCUCUUGCCUCAAAGCCCCUAAGUUUACCAUUAUAGAUUCAUUUCUUCUAAGCACUUCCCUUCCAAAUGUAAAACUGCUGGCAGAGGUGUGUCAUCAGCUCUUGACACACGGGAACAGACCAGCCUAUGGGGUCCCCAUAGAAAGGGGUCCUGAAAAGGCAAGAGGAAGAAGGGAAAGUGGGGACGCAAGCUCAGCCCUCAGGGUGUGUGGGGGUGACGCUCGGGGACCUUCAAGGACAUUGGGUGUCUGGAAGGAGAUGCUGGUGGUGACGGUGCCACUGGAGGGGAGAGUGGGAAGCCGGAGGGGGACAGAGAAGGGAGCAACAGAAACUACUUUUCACUAGACGUCGUUCCGUGCCCUUUGAGUUUGGUAGCGUCUGCAUCAUGACCUAGGCAAAAUGAAUUAAAUUAAAUAAAGGAGGGGGGAUACUGGUCUCUGAGGGCGAAGGUGCAAGUUACUUCAGACACUCUGCUGGCAGCCUGCCCUGCUCUCACCCUCUCCACCCCGCCCCCUCCCCCCAACGAGAAAAGCUGCCCCAUGAGCUCCUGGACGGCUCAUUCUGGGAACAGCAGCAAUACUUUUUCAGGGUCAAAAUUUGAGACACCAAAACCUUACACAAAAGCACUUCAGAACCGCUGGAGAAGCUCACCAAGGGAAAACGCAGCUUCCCCUAGUGUCGUGACCUCCCGUGAAAGCCGCUGUGUGAGGACUAACGCCGAGCGUCACGUGCAGCUGCACCAUUUGUUUCACCGUUGGACGUCAAUGAGCCACUCCUCCUCCACAAGGACCAGGUGAAGCAAAAUGCUGAGGAAGGAAAUAAUCCCUCCAGGGCCCUGCAGAGGCAUCGGAGAAACCCCGCAUCCUGCCCUGGACUUGAGCUACUAGUAAGACCCGUCCACCACCAGGCGGUAGGGGCGGGGGGAGGCCGUGGACUUGGCAUUCAGAGCCAGGAAAAUCAUCCGGUCCGCACAACCUUGGGCCAAUCACUCGAUUGCUGGGACCCUCACCCUUCUCACCUGUGACACAUAUAGAUCACCACUUACCUUGCCAGUUGUGGAAGCUUUAUACACAAAUAUCCAAAUCCAUGUCAUUACCCCUAAAAAUAACCCAGCACCUCCUGCUAGAUUUUCUCUGUAAAAUGUCCCCGGAUCUUGAAGUUGGAAGGUGUAAUGCAUGGACUUGUGUUCCCCUAAAAAGACACCUUGAAGUCCUAACCCCAGGAACCGUGAAUGUGACCUCAUUUGGAAAUGGGGUCUUUGCAGAUGUAAUUAGUGAAAUUCACAUAAAGUCAUAAUGGCACAGGGUGGGCCUUAAAUCCAGUCUGACUGGUGUCCUGAUAAGAAGACAAGGAACAGAGAGAGAGUACACAGAGGGAAGAUAAUGUGAAGACACGCACACAGGGAGAAGGAGGCCAUGUGACCACACGGGCAGAGAUGGCAGUGAGGCGUCUAUGAGCCAAGGAACACCAAGGAUGGCUGCAACACCAGAGGCUGGGAGAGGGGCACAGAUUCUCCGUCUGAGCCCUCAGGAAGGAACCAACGGUGCCGACCCCUUGAUUUUGGACUUCUGGCCUCCAGGACUGUAAGAGGAUAAAUACCUGUUGUUUUAAGCCCCCGUUUGUGGUCCUUUGUGAUGGCAGCCCCAGGACACCCAUUCAGAGAGUUACCUGGUUUUACUACCUGUCUAAUGCUUGAGUUCUCUUGCCCAGUGGUGAGCUAGCCAGCCUAUGUUUGACUGUCUCUAGUAAAAGAAAACUAACUUCGCACCUACCAAGGCAGCAAUCUCCACCUGUGAAAUGCCACGACUAUCGUAAUAAUCAUUCAGUCAACAAAUACUUAUUGAGCACCAACUAUAUGCUAGGAACUGUUUGGGGCAUGUUGAUACAGUGUAAGUAGGGAGCAGACAAUAAAACCACUCUCGAAUAAGGUCAUUUCUGAUAUUGUCAUGAAGAAAAUAAAUGCUGUAAUAUGACAGAGUGAGUGGGUUGGGGACCAGGAGGAAAUUAUUUUGAUUGUUAGGGAAGGUCUCACUCAGGAUGUGAUACUGGAGGGUGACUUGAAUGACAGGGAGCCAGCCUUGGGAAAAUCUGGCACGAGGAACAGCCAGUGCAAAGGCCCUGAGGCAGAAUGAGCCAGAUGUGCUCAAGGCACAGAAAGCAAGCAGGACUUUUAUUAGUGAGAGAAACAAGCAAGGUCAGUCAGUCCUGACAGCAGACCAAGGCAAGAAGUUUGAAUCUGAUCCUAAGAGAACUGGGAAGCCACUGGCGAGAGACAGGAUUUGACUCACAGUUUUUAAAACAUCACUCUGGCCUGAUAAAGUUCUUAAAACUGAAGUCUGUCUCAGGAUAGCUUUUCUCCUUUGGUUCUCGGGAUCUUGGGCUACUGCAGAGCAAGUUUCAUAAAUGACAGCCCCAGAACCUUCUGGAAUCCUGGCUCCCAAGAAUCUCCAAGACUCUCAGGCUUACCAGCCCUACUUCAUUCACCACUAUAGCAAUUUCCAAUGAUUUUUUCUAUGUCCUGCAUGAAAUGUGAUGCCCGGGAAAGAACACAAUAUUCUAAGCAUGGAGUAGCCCGGAAGCACCCCUUUCUCAUUCCAGAUCUAUACACCUACUGAUCUGCUCCAAGACUGCCCUGGCUUUUCAUUCUGUUUUGUACCCCUGACCUGCCCAGACAUAUCCCAGAUAUCCCCCUGCUGAGCUCCUUCUUGUGAUGUCCCAACCUAGAAAGUGCAACCCAAGCUUGUUAUUCCCUGAUGAGAACAGCUGUGCCCCGUUUAAAAAAAAAAAAAAGUGCCACCGUAACCCCAACAAUACCAUGUAUAAAAAACUGGAUAAAAU
ensembl:lncRNA